CAGCUCGAGCUGCGUCGAAAGUGAGAGAAACGCAGAAAGUUGCUGAAAGUGGCCGGAUAAAAAGGGCGACAGAGACGGUGAAAGGGGCAGAAAGUUAGGGGAACGGAGUACGGAAGGAUUUGUAGAGGGCAAAAGAAAGAGCGAGAUAGAGAAGAUAACGAGUAGGGAAGUACAGAAAAUGUCUAUUCCUUCUUUUGCCUUCAAUCCGAGAAUAUUUAUGAAUUUAGUUGGUUGUUGUUUACGGAACAUGCGUUAAUACCGCCAAAAAACAUCGAAAUCUUGAUUGUUUUGUUCCGCAUAUUGAAAUUCAACGAAGAGAGUAGAUCUUCGUGCUAUGGAAAACGGCAUGCGAUUCGAGUACUUAUUGGAUGUCCAAUAAUAAUAUCUCUACAGCAAGAGUCUGCUACGAGAAGUCAUACAGAUGAAUCCAUUAGCAGUCCUCGGAUAAAAGUUACAAACUCGUCCUCCACCCUCCCUGAAAAAUUAAAGUCCCAUGACAAACUUCGAUAUUCUGACGCAAAAGUUCUGAAACAUUUUCGAAGUACCAAAUUUAUCUUCGGACAUCUCAUAGAACAUGAUGUCAACGAGUUUUUCACUCUAGCGAGAAAGGAGAGAAAGUUCGCGUGAACAAGGUGUUUCAUGACCAUUUUCUACUUUCGUCCUGCGUUACCGAGCCUAUCAACCAUUUAUAAAAAAUGAUAAGGAAGAACGGCAGGCCCGGUCAGAUACAAAUUACCGGUGUGUUGCGUCAAGUUAGAUGGAAACUAGCCUUGGGAAUUGAGGGAGGCGCACAGGGAAAUCGCUAUACACCUUUUACCUCCAUCUACUGCAUCCUGCUUACUAAACAUUUAUCCUCUCUGUGCGAGUCCUUGCCCUUUCUAGCUUUUCUGUAACAGGACCAGUGUAACAUUGGUCAAGAACUGCAAGUUACUCCAAUCUCCUUGGUCAGUGUGUACAUUCUGCUGUCAAACUCAUUGACAUGCAGCAGAUACUCGAUCGAAACAUUGUUUCACGCCACCGCGACGAUUCUCCUUUUCGCUUAGCGUUCGCUUUGUCCCAAAGAAGAGGAACGUUCACGAAAGUCGCCAAAAACGUCGCGACGGUACAACGCGUAACGUACCAACGACGCUUACUAUUGAAACCCGAAGAAUAACAAAUAUGUCAGAUAUACGAGUUAUACAAAGCGUAUAGAAAUUAUACGUCACGAUUAUUUAUGACGGAAUUUUAUACUUACGACCUGGGUUAUGAAAAUGCAUUAAAUAAGAAGGAAUCGUAAA
rnacentral:lncRNA from 1 species